rnacentral:miRNA from 1 species
GUCGACUGGAAGGAAAUCCUUCCAGCCAACGAGGUACAUGUACCUCAACGGCUGGAAGGAAUUCCUUCCAGCUGUCAAGCAUGUACCUCGCCAGCUGGAAGGAAACCCUUCCAGCCGACGAGGUACAUGUACCUCAACGGCUGGAAGGAUUUCCUUCCAGCCGCC